rnacentral:rRNA from 1 species
ACACAUGCAAGUCGAGCGGUAACAUUUCUAGCUUGCUAGAAGAUGACGAGCGGCGGACGGGUGAGUAAUGCUUGGGAACAUGCCUUGAGGUGGGGGACAACAGUUGGAAACGACUGCUAAUACCGCAUAAUGUCUACGGACCAAAGGGGGCUUCGGCUCUCGCCUUUAGAUUGGCCCAAGUGGGAUUAGCUAGUUGGUGAGGUAAUGGCUCACCAAGGCGACGAUCCCUAGCUGGUUUGAGAGGAUGAUCAGCCACACUGGGACUGAGACACGGCCCAGACUCCUACGGGAGGCAGCAGUGGGGAAUAUUGCACAAUGGGCGCAAGCCUGAUGCAGCCAUGCCGCGUGUGUGAAGAAGGCCUUCGGGUUGUAAAGCACUUUCAGUCAGGAGGAAAGGUUAGUAGUUAAUACCUGCUAGCUGUGACGUUACUGACAGAAGAAGCACCGGCUAACUCCGUGCCAGCAGCCGCGGUAAUACGGAGGGUGCGAGCGUUAAUCGGAAUUACUGGGCGUAAAGCGUACGCAGGCGGUUUGUUAAGCGAGAUGUGAAAGCCCCGGGCUCAACCUGGGAACUGCAUUUCGAACUGGCAAACUAGAGUGUGAUAGAGGGUGGUAGAAUUUCAGUGUAGCGGUGAAAUGCGUAGAUAUCU